rnacentral:rRNA from 1 species
GUGGGGAAUCUUAGACAAUGGGCGCAAGCCUGAUCUAGCCAUGCCGCGUGAGCGAUGAAGGCCUUAGGGUUGUAAAGCUCUUUCGCUGGGGAAGAUAAUGACUGUACCCAGUAAAGAAGCCCCGGCUAACUCCGUGCCAGCAGCCGCGGUAAUACGGAGGGGGCUAGCGUUGUUCGGAAUUACUGGGCGUAAAGCGCGCGUAGGCGGAUUGGAAAGUUGGGGGUGAAAUCCCGGGGCUCAACCUCGGAACUGCCUUCAAAACUCCCAGUCUUGAGUUCGAGAGAGGUGAGUGGAAUUCCGAGUGUAGAGGUGAAAUUCGUAGAUAUUCGGAGGAACACCAGUGGCGAAGGCGGCUCACUGGCUCGAUACUGACGCUGAGGUGCGAAAGCGUGGGGAGCAAACAGGAUUAGAAACCCUGGUAGUCC